rnacentral:piRNA from 1 species
UAAAAGGCAUUACAGAAUCCACACUG